AUGAACGCUGGCGGCGUGCCUAAUACAUGCAAGUCGAGCGAACAGACGAGGAGCUUGCUCCUCUGACGUUAGCGGCGGACGGGUGAGUAACACGUGGAUAACCUACCUAUAAGACUGGGAUAACUUCGGGAAACCGGAGCUAAUACCGGAUAAUAUAUUGAACCGCAUGGUUCAAUAGUGAAAGACGGUUUUGCUGUCACUUAUAGAUGGAUCCGCGCCGCAUUAGCUAGUUGGUAAGGUAACGGCUUACCAAGGCGACGAUGCGUAGCCGACCUGAGAGGGUGAUCGGCCACCCUGGAACUGAGACACGGUCACGACUCCUACGGGAGGCAGCAGUAGGGAAUCUUCCGCAAUGGGCGAAAGCCUGACGGAGCAACGCCGCGUGAGUGAUGAAGGUCUUCGGAUCGUAAAACUCUGUUAUUAGGGAAGAACAAAUGUGUAAGUAACUAUGCACGUCUUGACGGUACCUAAUCAGAAAGCCACGGCUAACUACGUG
rnacentral:rRNA from 1 species